UACAAUGGGGGGUACGAGAGGGCCGCUACCACGCGAGUGGAUGCCAAUCCCCAAAACCUCUCUCAGUUCGGACUGGAGUCUGCAACCCGACUCCACGAAGCUGGAUUCGCUAGUAAUCGCGCAUCAGCCACGGCGCGGUGAAUACGUUCCCGGGCCUUGUACACACCGCCCGUCAAGCCAUGGGAGCCGGGGGUACCUGAAGUGCGUAACCGCGAGGAGCGCCCUAGGGUAAAACUGGUGACUGGGGCUAAGUCGUAACAAGGUACC
rnacentral:rRNA from 1 species